UGACCUGCGGAGGAUCAUUACCGAGUGCGGGUCCUUUGGGCCCAACCUCCCAUCCGUGUCUAUUAUACCCUGUUGCUUCGGCGGGCCCGCCGCUUGUCGGCCGCCGGGGGGGCGCCUUUGCCCCCCGGGCCCGUGCCCGCCGGAGACCCCAACACGAACACUGUCUGAAAGCGUGCAGUCUGAGUUGAUUGAAUGCAAUCAGUUAAAACUUUCAACAAUGGAUCUCUUGGUUCCGGCAUCGAUGAAGAACGCAGCGAAAUGCGAUAACUAAUGUGAAUUGCAGAAUUCAGUGAAUCAUCGAGUCUUUGAACGCACAUUGCGCCCCCUGGUAUUCCGGGGGGCAUGCCUGUCCGAGCGUCAUUGCUGCCCUCAAGCCCGGCUUGUGUGUUGGGUCGCCGUCCCCCUCUCCGGGGGGACGGGCCCGAAAGGCAGCGGCGGCACCGCGUCCGAUCCUCGAGCGUAUGGGGCUUUGUCACAUGCUCUGUAGGAUUGGCCGGCGCCUGCCGACGUUUUCCAACCAUUUUUUCCAGGUUGACCUCGGAUCAGGUAGGGAUACCCGCUGAACUUAAGCAUAUCAAUAAGCGGAGGAAAAGAAACCAACCGGGAUUGCCUCAGUAACGGCGAGUGAAGCGGCAAGAGCUCAAAUUUGAAAGCUGGCUCCUUCGGAGUCCGCAUUGUAAUUUGCAGAGGAUGCUUUGGGUGCGGCCCCCGUCUAAGUGCCCUGGAACGGGCCGUCAGAGAGGGUGAGAAUCCCGUCUUGGGCGGGGUGUCCGUGCCCGUGUAAAGCUCCUUCGACGAGUCGAGUUGUUUGGGAAUGCAGCUCUAAAUGGGUGGUAAAUUUCAUCUAAAGCUAAAUACUGGCCGGAGACCGAUAGCGCACAAGUAGAGUGAUCGAAAGAUGAAAAGCACUUUGAAAAGAGAGUUAAACAGCACGUGAAAUUGUUGAAAGGGAAGCGCUUGCGACCAGACUCGCCCGCGGGGUUCAGCCGGCAUUCGUGCCGGUGUACUUCCCCGUGGGCGGGCCAGCGUCGGUUUGGGCGGCCGGUCAAAGGCCCCUGGAAUGUAGUACCCUCCGGGGUACCUUAUAGCCAGGGGUGCAAUGCGGCCAGCCUGGACCGAGGAACGCGC
rnacentral:rRNA from 1 species